UUGCGUUUGUGCAAUAUAAAUUCGAUGGCAAGACGGCUGUCGUGAAGCUCUCCGCUAUAAAGGAUUUCACUCCUAAAAACGUUACCGAUUUUGAGUCUACUGGCCUGGGGACGAAGACACCAUCGGCGAUUUUUAUGAAGCGCGGAUCCUGCAUCUCGCUGAAUCUGAGGAAGAGAUGGAGGCAUAGAAGGAAAAGCGUCCCAGGAAGGUUUUGGUGGACUUGCCACGAGGAAAGAAAAGGAGCAAGGAAAUGGGUCCACAACCUGCGUUGUGCCUGCACCAAGGGCACAUUGUCAGACAGGCAAGUCAUUGUCUAACAAUACAGGCGCUUUGCAUUAUGCAGUACUGAUCCCGUUAUGCUGUGUUCACUCAAGUCAUGCACGCCCUGUACACUGACGGGACCUAAGAUAUUGUAGAGGAAGUUUUUUUCACAUGGGCGUCUAGUUCUUUGACGCAGCUCACAAGUAUUGCCUUCUUGCAGGACGUGCAAAACUCCCAGUAGAGAAGGCCACCAUGCCAAGGGAGUUGGGCCAGAGAGAACCUGCAAGUGUCGGGAAUCCUGGUGCUGCUGAUUUACAAUCUGCAACUGUCGAGGGCCGUGGUGCCACUGAAUCGUUGCAGUCUUCAACUCCUCAGAGUAAUACUGCUGCAGCAUCGAGUUUUAGAUUAGAAGACUUUGAGUCUCUGGAAACCUCGGCCACCUCACUAGUGGGAGAUAUAGGGAGGCCGGGGUUGAACUUUCUUUAGAGGACAAUGCCUCGGAAGAGUUUGUCAUAGGCUCCAGAAGGGAUGACGGAAAGGUGUAUGCAGGCUGUGGCUCCUGGAUUAAUGAAAAAGCCUGGGGAUGUUUGUUCAGCGCUUCUACAGACUAUGUUCUGUAGAAGUGCUGCUCCUGUAUUUUGGACCCCCCAACAACUGAAAACCAGGAGUGUCGCUGGAACACUUUCGAACAAGGCACGGCAUCUUGGCUACACUGAGGCAAAGCCAGCGCUGGCACCAGAGAAAGUAUCUCCUCUAAAGGCAUUGUUUGCCUUUUACAUGGGUGACAUGCCAAAGGAGGUGUCAGACAAGAGAAUGAAGGCGGCCGAAAACACUUGUCGCAGAAGCUCGGCGAUAUGCAGCGGUGGUGAACUCUGCGAAUGCAUGUUGAAAUAAACUAGCUUGAGCCUUCAGGUUC